rnacentral:rRNA from 1 species
GACGAACGCUGGCGGCGUGCCUAAUACAUGCAAGUCGAACGCAGUGGGGACGGGUGAGUAACACGUGGGUAACCUCCCGUCAGAGGGGAGAACACUUGGAAACAGGUGCUAAACCGAUACUGAUGGAUGGACCCGCGGUGCAUUAGCUAGUUGGUGAGGUCACGGCUCACCAAGGCCACGAGGCAUAGCGGGCCUGAGAGGUUGACCGGCCACACGGGUAAUGAGACACGGCCCAGAGUCCUACGGGAGGCAGCAGUAGGGAAUCUUCGGCAAUGGACGAAAGUCUGACCGAGCAACGCCGCGUGAGUGAAGAAGGUUUUCGGAUUGUAAAUCUCUGUUGUCAGAGAAGCGGUAUCUAACGAGAAAGCCACGGCUAACUACGUGCCAGCAGCCGCGGUAAUAC